rnacentral:rRNA from 1 species
ACGAACGCUGGCGGCGUGCCUCAUACAUGCAAGUAGAACGCUGAAGGAGGAGCUUGCUUCUCUGGAUGAGUUGCGAACGGGUGAGUAACGCGUAGGUAACCUGCCUGGUAGCGGGGGAUAACUAUUGGAAACGAUAGCUAAUACCGCAUAAGAGUAGAUGUUGCAUGACAUUUGCUUAAAAGGUGCAAUUGCAUCACUACCAGAUGGACCUGCGUUGUAUUAGCUAGUUGGUGGGGUAACGGCUCACCAAGGCGACGAUACAUAGCCGACCUGAGAGGGUGAUCGGCCACACUGGGACUGAGACACGGCCCAGACUCCUACGGGAGGCAGCAGUAGGGAAUCUUCGGCAAUGGACGGAAGUCUGACCGAGCAACGCCGCGUGAGUGAAGAAGGGUUUCGGAUCGUAAAGCUCUGUUGUAAGAGAAGAACGAGUGUGAGAGUGGAAAGUUCACACUGUGACGGUAUCUGACCAGAAAGGGACGGCUAACUACGUG